rnacentral:misc_RNA from 1 species
GCAACGCCUGCCCUUUUCCCCUUCUGCAUGACACACAUGCUUCAUAUGCCUUUGCUCACAUGGGUGAACCUUUUGCAAGUGAUAAAUCAGUUGUAAACACAAGGAGAUGGCAUUGGAUUAUAAAUAAUAGUCUGUCUUACCCACCACUAGGUUCCAAUUUCUAAUCCUUGCUCUGUUUCACACUUUUUCCAUGCCUCUCACAUAACAAAUUAAUGUUCAAAAGGGAAAAAAUCAUACCGGUGAUUUUCUUGUAAGUUUUGCAGUUGUUGCCUCAACAUAGCUGCCUCCCUUUGCCAGAACUAGCAAAAUUCACAAUUUAGCAACAUAUCAG